GUACACUCCUGCGGGAGGCAGCAGUGGGGAAUUUUGGACAAUGGGCGAAAGCCUGAUCCAGCAAUGCCGCGUGAGUGAAGAAGGCCUUCGGGUUGUAAAGCUCUUUUGUCAGGGAAGAAACGGUGAGAGCUAAUAUCUCUUGCUAAUGACGGUACCUGAAGAAUAAGCACCGGCUAACUACGUGCCAGCAGCCGCGGUAAUACGUAGGGUGCAAGCGUUAAUCGGAAUUACUGGGCGUAAAGCGUGCGCAGGCGGUUUUGUAAGUCUGAUGUGAAAUCCCCGGGCUCAACCUGGGAAUUGCAUUGGAGACUGCAAGGCUAGAAUCUGGCAGAGGGGGGUAGAAUUCCACGUGUAGCAGUGAAAUGCGUAGAUAUGUGGAGGAACACCGAUGGCGAAGGCAGCCCCCUGGGUCAAGAUUGACGCUCAUGCACGAAAGCGUGGGGAGCAAACAGGAUUAGAAACCCCAGUAGUCCCAUG
rnacentral:rRNA from 1 species